ACUCCUACGGGAGGCAGCAGUGGGGAAUAUUGCACAAUGGGCGAAAGCCUGAUCCAGCCAUGCCGCGUGUGUGAAGAAGGCCUUAGGGUUGUAAAGCACUUUAAGCAGGAAAGAAAGCGCCGAGUUAAUAGCUCGAGCGUGUUGACGGUACCUGCAGAAUAAGCACCGGCUAACUCCGUGCCAGCAGCCGCGGUAAUACGGAGGGUGCAAGCGUUAUCCGGAAUUAUUGGGCGUAAAGCGCAUGUAGGCGGUCUGUUAAGCGAGAUGUGAAAGCCCGGCUCAACCUGGGAACUGCAUUUCGAACUGGCAGACUAGAGUCUUGUAGAGGGGGUGAGAAUUCCAGGUGUCAGGCGGUGAAAUGCGAUGAGAGAUCUGGAGGAAUACCGGUGGCAGAAGGCGGCCCCGUGGACAAGACCUGACGCAUCAGACGCAACGU
rnacentral:rRNA from 1 species